AACCCAAGCCCAGAGUCACAGCCUCCCCGCCCUUGGCAAAUGUCAGGACUCACACAAACUCCUCAGUCCUCAUCAUUUCCCUCUUCCGCGGUCAAAUCACAAACUGAAGAUUCAAAGACGAAACGCUGCGAAUUCUCGAAUCAGUUCUGGUCUUUAAAGACUUGAAAUCGCUGAUCGAAACACGAUCGGAUUUGAAACAGUCCAUGAGAUCCGAAUCUUUCUCUAUCAUCCACCAAAUCAAGAUAAAAUUGUCGAACAGAAGCUUUUCACUCUCCAAAUAUGUGUUGGCGCUUUCGCUCUCACAGGCGAUAUUGAGGCAGCGACAAACUCCUUGUCAAAUUUUAUCCGUCGAUUAAUUAAAAUUACUAGCAAUCUCUACAUGAAUUAUGUGUGCAGAGUUGUUUGUCGUUGAAAUAAGAGGCAUUGCUUUUGUGUGAUGUUAAGUCUACCGGUGAAUAAUCGCUACAAGUUUCGUAUCUGGAAUGGCUAAAUUUUGAUCGCCAUUGACUUGAUAACGGCUUCUAUUCUAUUGCUAUACAGUCGUGUGAAAAGUCCCAAGCAUGUUUUGAAAAGAAUGACAUUGCAGAUACGAAAACAGGUGAGUUCUUCGAAAAUGC